CAGAGAAAGCGCCGGCUAACUACGUGCCAGCAGCCGCGGUAAUACGUAGGGCGCGAGCGUUGUCCGGAAUUAUUGGGCGUAAAGAGCUUGUAGGCGGUUUGUCGCGUCUGCUGUGAAAGGCCGGGGCUUAACUCCGUGUAUUGCAGUGGGUACGGGCAGACUAGAGUGCAGUAGGGGAGACUGGAAUUCCUGGUGUAGCGGUGGAAUGCGCAGAUAUCAGGAGGAACACCGAUGGCGAAGGCAGGUCUCUGGGCUGUAACUGACGCUGAGAAGCGAAAGCAUGGGGAGCGAACAGGAUUAGAUACCCUGGUAGUCCAUGCCGUAAACGUUGGGCACUAGGUGUGGGGGACAUUCCACGUUUUCCGCGCCGUAGCUAACGCAUUAAGUGCCCCGCCUGGGGAGUACGGCCGCAAGGCUAAAACUCAAAGAAAUUGACGGGGGCCCGCACAAGCGGCGGAGCAUGCGGAUUAAUUCGAUGCAACGCGAAGAACCUUACCAAGGCUUGACAUAUACUGGACCGCAUCAGAGAUGGUGUUUCCCUUCGGGGCUGGUAUACAGGUGGUGCAUGGUUGUCGUCAGCUCGUGUCGUGAGAUGUUGGGUUAAGUCCCGCAACGAGCGCAACCCUCGUUCUAUGUUGCCAGCACGUUAUGGUGGGGACUCAUAGGAGACUGCCGGGGUCAACUCGGAGGAAGGUGGGGAUGACGUCAAAUCAUCAUGCCCCUUAUGUCUUGGGCUUCACGCAUGCUACAAUGGCCGGUACAG
rnacentral:rRNA from 1 species